rnacentral:rRNA from 1 species
UACGUAGGCAGCGAGCGUUGUUCGGAGUUACUGGGCGUAAAGCGUGCGUAGGCGGUGUCUUAAGUUUGUUGUGAAAUCUCCCGGCUUAACCGGGAGGGUGCGGCGAAUACUGAGAUGCUGGAGUGCCGGAGAGGUAAGCGGAAUUCCUGGUGUAGCGGUGAAAUGCGUAGAUAUCAGGAGGAACACCUGCGGUGUAGACGGCUUGCUGGACGGUAACUGACGCUGAGGCACGAAAGCGUGGGUAGCAAACAGG